GCCUCCGUAGCUCAGGUGGAUAGAGCGUCUGCCUCCUAAGCAGAAGGCCACAGGUUCGAGUCCUGUCGGGGGCA
rnacentral:tRNA from 1 species